UGGGGAAUAUUGGACAAUGGGCGAAAGCCUGAUCCAGCCAUGCCGCGUGUGUGAAGAAGGUCUUCGGAUUGUAAAGCACUUUAAGUUGGGAGGAAGGGCAGUAAGCGAAUACCUUGCUGUUUUGACGUUACCGACAGAAUAAGCACCGGCUAACUCUGUGCCAGCAGCCGCGGUAAUACAGAGGGUGCAAGCGUUAAUCGGAAUUACUGGGCGUAACGCGCGCGUAGGUGGUUCGUUAAGUUGAAUGUGAAAGCCCCGGGCUCAACCUGGGAACUGCAUCCAAAACUGGCGAGCUGGAGUAGGGCAGAGGGUGGUGGAAUUUCCUGUGUAGCGGUGAAAUGCGUAGAUAUAGGAAGGAACACCAGUGGCGAAGGCGACCACCUGGGCUCAUACUGACACUGAGGUGCGAAAGCGUGGGGAGCAAACAGG
rnacentral:rRNA from 1 species